GAUGAAGAACGUAGCGAAAUGCGAUAAGUAAUGUGAAUUGCAGAAUUCAGUGAAUCAUCAAAUCUUUGAACGCACAUUGCGCCCGCCAGUAUUCUGGCGGGCAUGCCUGUUCGAGCGUCAUUACAACCCUCAGGCCCCCGGGCCUGGCGUUGGGGAUCGGCGGAGCCCCCCGUGGGCACACGCCGUCCCCCAAAUACAGUGGCGGUCCCGCCGCAGCUUCCAUCGCGUAGUAGCUAACACCUCGCGACUGGAGAGCGGCGCGGCCACGCCGUAAAACACCCAACUCUUCUGAAGUUGACCUCGAAUCAGGUAGGAAUACCCGCUGAACUUAAGCAUAUCAAUAAGCGGAGGA
rnacentral:misc_RNA from 1 species